UCGGGCGUGGUGUACGGCACACGGCGAGUAUGGUUGUGGCGGAGAUAAUUGAGAACCUUGCAACUCGCGGUCCGGGGUUCGACUCCCCGCGUCCGAA